rnacentral:rRNA from 1 species
AGUGAACGCUGGCGGUAGGCCUAACACAUGCAAGUCGAACGGCAGCACAGUAAGAGCUUGCUCUUACGGGUGGCGAGUGGCGGACGGGUGAGGAAUACAUCGGAAUCUACUUUUUCGUGGGGGAUAACGUAGGGAAACUUACGCUAAUACCGCAUACGACCUACGGGUGAAAGCAGGGGAGCUUCGGACCUUGCGCGAUUGAAUGAGCCGAUGUCGGAUUAGCUAGUUGGCGGGUUAAAGGCCCACCAAGGCAACGAUCCGUAGCUGGUCUGAGAGGAUGAUCAGCCACACUGGAACUGAGACACGGUCCAGACUCCUACGGGAGGCAGCAGUGGGGAAUAUUGGACAAUGGGCGCAAGCCUGAUCCAGCCAUACCGCGUGGGUGAAGAAGGCCUUCGGGUUGUAAAGCCCUUUUGUUGGGAAAGAAAAGCAGCAGGUUAAUACCCCGCUGUUCUGACGGUACCCAAAGAAUAAGCACCGGCUAACUUCGUG